rnacentral:rRNA from 1 species
AGUUCGAUUCUGGCUCGUGAUUGAACGCUGGCGGGAUGCUUUACACAUGCAAGUCGAACGGCAGCACGACCGGUCUGGUGGCGAGUGGCGAACGGGUGAGUAAUGUAUCGGAACGUGCCUAGUAGCGGGAUAACUACGCGAAAGCGUAGCUAAUACCGCAUACGCCCUUCGGGGGAGCGGGGACCUUCGCCCGCACUAUUAGAAAGCGGCCGAUAUCGGAUUAGCUAGUUGGUGGGGCAAUUACCAAGGCGACGAUCCGUAGCUGGUUUGAGAGGACGACCAGCCACACUGGGACUGGAGACACGGCCCAGACUCCUACGGGAGGCAGCAGUGGGGAAUUUUGGACAAUGGGGGAACCCUGAUCCAGCCAUCCCGCGUGUGCGAUGAAGGCCUUCGGGUUGUGCUAAUUUUUGGCAGGAAAGAAACGGCACGGGAUAAUACCCCGUGCAACUGACGGUACCUGCAGAAUAAGCACCGGCUAACCACAGCCAGCAGCCGCGGUAAUACGUAGGGUGCAAGCGUUAAUCGGAAUUACUGGGCGUAAAGCGUGCGCAGGCGGUUCGGAAAGAAAGAUGUGAACCGUAGAGCUUUAACUUUGGAAACUGCAUUUUUAACUACCGAGCUAGAUGUCAGAGAGGUGGAACGCGUGUAGCAGUGAAAUGCGUAGAUAUGUGGAGGAACACCGAUGGCGAAGGCAGCCUCCUGGGAUAACACUGACGCUCAUGCACGAAAGCGUGGGGAGCAAACAGGAUUAGAUACCCUGGUAGUCCACGCCCUAAACGAUGUCAACUAGUUGGGGCCUUUCUGCUCGGUAGCGCAGCGCUAACGCGUGAAGCUGACCGCCUGGGGAGUACGGUCGCAAGAUUAAAACUCAAAGGAAUUGACGGGGACCCGCACAAGCGGUGGAUGAUGUGGAUUAAUUCGAUGCAACGCGAAAACCUUACCUACCCUGACAUGUCUGGAAUCCCGGAAGAGAUUUGGGAGUGCUCGCAAGAGAACCGGAACACAGGUGCUGCAUGGCUGUCGUCACCGUGUCGUAGAUGCUGGGUUAAGUCCGCAACGAGCGCAACCCUUUGUCAUUAGUUGCUACGAAAGGACUCUUAAUGAGACUGCCGGUGACAAACCGGAGGAAGGUGGGAUGACGUCAAGUCCUCAUGGCCCUGGCGGUAGGGCUUCACACGUCAUACAAUGGUCGGGACAGGGGGUCGCCAACCGGCGAGGGGGAGCCGCUAAUCCCAGAAACCCGAUCGUAGUCCGGAUCGCAGUUCGCAACUCGACUGCGUGAAGUCGGAAUCGCUAGUAAUCGCGGAUCAGCAUGUCGCGGUGAAUACGUUCCCGGGUCUUGUACACACCGCCCGUCGCACCAUGGGAGUGGGUUUUACCAGAAGUAGUUAGCCUUAACCGUAAGGAGGGCGAUUACCACGGUAGGAUUCAUGACUGGGGUGAAGUCGUAACAAGGUAG